rnacentral:miRNA from 1 species
UACUCAGGAAGGCAUCGUUCA